rnacentral:rRNA from 1 species
UAAGACGGAAGGUGCAAGCGUUACUCGGAAUCACUGGGCGUAAAGCGUCCGCAGGCGUCCUUCCCAGUCCGGCAUUAAAGUGCGGAGCCCAACUCCGUGAUGUGUCGGAAACUAGAAGGAUAGAGUCAUAGAGAGGCAUCUGGAAUGUCGUGUGUAGGGGUAAAAUCCGUAGAUCCACGAUGGAACGCCAAAAGCGAAGGCAGGAUGCUGGCUAUGUACUGACGCUCAGGGACGAAAGCGUGGGGAGCGAAGGGGAUUAGAUACCCCCGUAGUCCACGCCCUAAACGAUGUGUGCUCGGUGUUGGGAAUUCAAUCAUUCUCAGUGCCCCAGCUAACGCGGUAAGCACACCGCCUGAGUAGUACGAUCGCAAGAUUA